rnacentral:rRNA from 1 species
AGCAGCCGCAGUAAUACGAAGGGGGCUAGCGUUGCUCGGAAUCACUGGGCGUAAAGCGCACGUAGGCGGAUCUUUAAGUCGAGGGUGAAAUCCCGGAGCUCAACUCCGGAACUGCCUUCGAUACUGAGGACCUUGAGUCCGGGAGAGGUGAGUGGAACUGCGAGUGUAGAGGUGAAAUUCGUAGAUAUUCGCAAGAACACCAGUGGCGAAGGCGGCUCACUGGCCCGGUACUGACGCUGAGGUGCGAAAGCGUGGGGAGCAA